rnacentral:rRNA from 1 species
AGAGUGAACGCUGGCGGUAGGCCUAACACAUGCAAGUCGAACGGCAGCGCAGUAGGAGCUUGCUCUUACGGGUGGCGAGUGGCGGACGGGUGAGGAAUACAUCGGAAUCUACCUUUUGGUGGGGGAUAACGGUAGGGAAACUUACGCUAAUACCGCAUACGCCCUUCGGGGGAAAGCCGGGACCAGCAAUGGCCUGGCGCUGAUAGAUGAGCCGAUGGUCGGAUUAGCGUUAGUUGGUGAGGUAAUGGCUCACCAAGGCGACGAUCCGUAGCUGGUCUGGAGAGGAUGAUCAGCCACACGUGGAACUGAGACACGGUCCAGACCUACCGUACGGGAGCAGCAGGUAGGGAAUAGUGGAACAAGUGGG